GUUACACUCCUGAAACAUUAAGAUGAUUUGUUUUCUGAUAAGUGUAUUUCUGCUUUCUGUACAAGGCUCCUGUGGACAGAUUGUGAUGACUCAGUUUCCAGAAUUUCUUACUGUGUCAUCAGGAGAAAGUGUCACCAUGAAAUGUGAAGCCAGUGAUGACAUAUAUGAUGCUAUAGCCUGGUACCAACAGAAACCAGGACAACCUCCAAAGCUUCUUAUCUAUGCUGCAAGCAGCAGAGACACAGGGGUCCCAGACAGGUUCAGCGGCAGUGGGUCUGGUACUGAUUACACGUUUACAGUUAGCAGAGUGCAAGCAGAAGAUGCAGCAGAUUAUUACUGUCAGCAGGGUGCUAGCUUCCCUCUCACAGUGAUACAGAGCUGUACAAAAACCUUCCCUACGUUUCCGCUGCUUCAUUACUAUCAACUGUUCAGUAAACAUAUUUAG